rnacentral:rRNA from 1 species
GAUGAACGCUGGCGGCGUGCCUAAUACAUGCAAGUCGAGCGAACGGACGAGAAGCUUGCUUCUCUGAUGUUAGCGGCGGACGGGUGAGUAACACGUGGAUAACCUACCUAUAAGACUGGGAUAACUUCGGGAAACCGGAGCUAAUACCGGAUAAUAUUUUGAACCGCAGGGUUCAAAAGUGAAAGACGGUCUUGCUGUCACUUAUAGAUGGAUCCGCGCUGCAUUAGCUAGUUGGUAAGGUAACGGCUUACCAAGGCAACGAUGCAUAGCCGACCUGAGAGGGUGAUCGGCCACACUGGAGCUGAGCCACGGUCCAGGCUCCUACGGGAGGCAGCAGUAGGGUAUCUUCCGCAAUGGGCGAAAGCCUGACGGAGCAACGCCGCGUGAGUGAUGACGGUCUUCGGAUCGUAAAACUCUGUUAUUAGGGAAGAACAUAUGUGUACGUAACUGUGCACAUCUUGACGGUACCUAAUCAGAAAGCCACGGCUAACUACGUG